rnacentral:sRNA from 1 species
UGCCAAAAGAAAUUGGGUGCAAAAUGG